GGACGAGCAGCUAUUCAGGUGGUGAUAGGGAAGCACAAAACAAGGAGAGGGGCUCUGGACUCUGGGCAUCAGGCAGCCAGGGCAGGAGGCUGGGGCCUCCAGGAGCUGUUUCAGUCUAGAUACUGGGGAUGUUGACCAGUGCUUCAGGGCUGUGGGCCUCAACACCUCCCCACUCUGCCCACCCUCAGGUGUGAGCUGUCAGUGGAGAAGUCCACAGUGCUGCAGUCUGAGCUGGAAUCCUGUAAGGAGCUGCAGGAGCUGGAGCCUGAGAAUAAAUGGUGCCUGCUUACCAUCAUCCUGCUGAUGCGGGCACUGGACCCCCUGCUGUAUGAGAAGGAGACUCUGCAGUACUUCCAGACCCUCAAGGCCGUGGACCCCAUGCGGGCAGCGUAUCUGGAUGACCUGCGCAGCAAGUUCUUGCUGGAGAAUAGCGUGCUCAAGAUGGAGUAUGCCGAGGUGCGUGUGCUGCACCUGGCUCACAAGGAUCUGACAGUGCUCUGCCAUCUGGAACAGCUGCUCUUGGUCACCCAUCUUGACCUGUCACACAAUCGUCUCCGAACCCUGCCACCUGCACUGGCUGCCCUGCGCUGCCUUGAGGUAAAGUACCCAUGUCUCCAUCCCUGUCACGGGUGGUUCUUUUCCUCUUCCUCUACCUCAGAAGUUUGCCCAUCCUACAAGGAGAUGUGCAGGACCUUCCACCCCGAACAGGUAACUACGUGCCUUCCACCUCCAUCACGCAGCCUGACCCUGUGAGCCCCUCUGUGCUCU
rnacentral:sRNA from 1 species